ensembl:lncRNA LINC00841 long intergenic non-protein coding RNA 841
CCAGCCCUCAUUGCUUCCCCAGUACUGGUUCCUGCAAGCUGCUUGGUUGAUGCUCCAGUUCCUCCUUUUUCUUCCUCUCUGCCUGGGGAACCUCUCGCAUCUUUCAAGAAGACACUAAAGUAAAAGAACCAUCAACACAAGUGACAUGUCAUAGCAGGAGCUGACACAGCCUCACCAGCCCAUGCUCGGCCAGACUAGGGAGCAUCGGCCGCUUGUUCCAUCCUGUGCUUGUCUGCCUGCCUCUCUGUCAUGAGACGCAUUCGAAGAGUCCUGGGCCCAAAAGCAACUCACAGUCCAGGAAGACGUCCAGGCCUUGGGUGACGCUCAGUCUCAGUAAAUGGCCCUGGCUGGCAGGUGGUGGUGGGAGGGACCCAGGUUGGUCCCUGUGGCUGCCUUUGUGCUCCCUAAAUCCCCUUGUCUAGGGUCAGCCUAGGGUCUGGCAUGGGGCAGAGACAGGAGUGCCCUCAUCUGCCAGGGAAAUGCUCACUGGGGGAGGGAGCAGCCGGCCCCCCAGGCCACACUCCAUGCCCCACCCUCUAAGCUGCAGAGUGCAUGUACAUCAAUGGAACACAGAGGGAGGGUCCCAGGCUCCUGUCCACACUAAAAUGCCCCUGGACCCCAACCCUUAACAGACGAGAUCCUGUCUCAUUAGAAAGCACAUGUGACUUCUCUAGCAGCUCAUUCCCACUUCCUUUGUCUUCAGUAAAGACGGAGAAUGGUGGCCUCCU